UCCCCUUUCUCUGCUCUGUGCUGCCUCGCCCCUUUCUCUGCUCUGCGCCGCAAAGCUGGAUCGACGGCGACGAGCGACGCCGCGUUUCCUAACCGCACCGACAGCAACGGGCUCGACGGCGAUGGGCGACGCCACCUUUCCUCACCACACGGACGCGUCUCCCCUGGUUUCUCGCCGAACGUGACGACCAGGAGCAGAGGCCUAUCGUCGCAACAAUAGACAAAGAAAAGGGGAAGGCGAAUGGGAAGGAGAAGGAGAAAGAGAGGACCUUGGAAUCCAUUAUGAAGAGUAAGUUGCCGGUAUCGGGGACCUCCGCCUCAACGUCCCCCUGACCCCACCGGCGCUGCCGUGGGUGCCGGAAUCGCCGCUGCCUCCGGCUCCGCAAUCGACUAUGAGAGGGAGGCUACAUCUUCCCAGGUAUGUGCGUGCAAAAUAUAUAUUUUGUGCAAGCUCAUGUAUGUGCUGUUUUUGCUUUUUGGAAGUCAAAUUUAUGUGUUCCCAAGCUCAUAUGUGCUGUUUUUGGUAUCCAAAUGUCAAAUAUAUGUUUGUGCAAGCCUGCAAUGGCCUCCUCCUCUGCCGCUGAUGGAAGGCGACGACUCAUCCCAAGAUAAUGGAUUAUGUGGUGUGCAAUCCCACUACUCAGAAAUGGGUGGCCGUGCCUGCCACUGACUGGUCCAGAAUGGUGAGCGUCGCUCGCCUAGGAUUCGACCCAGCCGUUUCUUCCGAUUUCCGUGUAUUUGAGUUCAUUGAUGAGGAGUCAUGGGGUAUAGCUGAGGAUGAGCUUGAUGGCGAUUGCUGUGGACGCAUCGAAACACUAGCAAUAUACUCAUCCGAAGCUGGAGCUUGGAAAUACGAAACAGUUGAUAUUGGUCCAUUUGCGAUACCCAAGAAUUCAGUAAGCGCAUUUUUUAAUGGAAUCUUGCAUCUGGCUGACUCAUUUGAGUGGAUAGUAGCUGUUGAUGUGGAAGGAGCUAAUUGGUGGCUCAUUGAUGCUCCUGAGCCACCAUACUAUGCUGAUUGGUGUAGGUGGCAUAUUUCCAUCACAGGGACGGUUGUAUUUUGCUGAUUCUGUCAUUCUGAUGGUUCUAAACUAUCAAUCUUUGUUCUUGAGGACUAUGUUACAGGAAAAUGGACUUUGAAGCACAAUGUGAGCCACUUGCAGUUAUUCAGAACAGAGUAUUCAUCCUAUGCGAAUAAUUAUAAUGUUGUUUCUAUCCAUCCAGAACACAGUUUGGUUUUUAUAGUCGGUGGAGUUGAGAAGACACUAAUGUUAUACGACAUGGAUUCUAGACAGCUGUGUUUUAUAUGUCAACUUGGCUCUGAGUGUAAGCUUGAAUGGCAAAGGCCUGAAUGCGGCAAAAAGACUCCUCCUUUUUAUCCACAUGUCCCCUUGUUCUCAGAGUCAUUGGCAGAUGAGCACUAAAUCUCUUUCUUGUGUACUGCAGCUUCACAAUUCUCCCAUCUUUCUGAUGAUAUUGGAGUUUGGUAUUGAAUUCGGGCAGCAGUGAUUUGGGUGGCUGUUUAUGAAGUUCUGAUAGUUUUUGUUGGUGCUUGAGCACACUCAUGUCCUGACUAUUGCAGUUAAGUUAGUAACUGAGCUUGUGAUUGUGUACUUGUAUAUAUUCAUGGCAGUUAGCAGCCCGUGCAGUUGUAACAAGCCUGCUGCUUUAAUUAUGGAUAUUAUGAUCGUUCUGCUGAACCAUUAUUAAUGUCUUCUAUAUCCAAA